ensembl:snRNA U6 U6 spliceosomal RNA
AUGUAAUUGUAUGACUAUGCUACAGCACAUUACAGAGAAGAUUAGCAUGGCCCUGUGCAAGGAUGACGUGCAAAAUAGUGAGGAGAUACACCUAAAU